CCUAUUUACAAGGAGCAGGAAAAGGGUAUUAUAGACCUACUAACCUGCAGGUAUCAUAGACCUACUAACCUGCAGGAAUUAUAGACCUAAUAAACUGCAGGUAUCAUAGACCUACUAACCUGCAGCUAUCAUAGACCUACUAACCUGCAGGAAUUAUGGAGAAUCAUUCCUGGCUGUUGUAGGAUGCUGCUGAGUACACAGGUUGAAGAUGAGGUUCUGUAAUGUCUUCUUUAGUGUUGACCGAAUCGAAGUCCACAAAGUGAAGCCGAAUAAAUUUGCCCUGAAAUGGUGGUAAAAAAAAAAAAAUCAUAUUUACCUCAUCUGUUUGAGCGUGAAGAGCCGGCUGCCGCCAUCUUGAUUAAAGAUCCAGAGCAAAAUCCAGUGCGCGGUGAUGUAUGACAUCAACACGCGAGCCAAUGUGAUGACGUCAUCACAGGGCAUGCAAGAUUUCAUGCUAGAUCUUCAAUGAAGAUGGCGGCAGACGGCUCUUGGCGAUCAAAUGAAUGAGGGUAAGUAUAAUUUUAUUAUUUUGGCAUCUGAGGGGUACAAUGAUGGGUACGGCACAAUCACUGUUCCCUGUCAUUGCACCCAAUGCUUAC